GUUCGAGCAGCGUCGUGUCGCGGUCCGGGACUGUCCUCAGUCCCGGGUCGUCUCGGCGCGGUUCCGAGCGGUCGCUCCCUCGCGAGGUGCCGCGGGUCAGCGGCUGACGCCAGCCACCUUCCCGACCCGUCUUGAAACACGGACCAAGGAGUCUAACAUGUGCGCGAGCCGCGGGGCAGUACGAAACCCGUAAGGCGAAAUGAAGGUGAACGCCGGCGCGGUCCGGCGGAGGUUGGAUCCCGUCCCGUCGGGGCGGGCGCACUACCGGCCGAUCUUCUCCGCCCUGUCGGCGAGGUCGAGCGAGAGCGUGCAAGUCGGGACCCGAAAGAUGGUGAACUAUGCCUGAGGAGGUUGAAGCCAGAGGAAACUCUGGUGGAGGACCGUAGCGAUUCUGACGUGCAAAUCGAUCGUCAAAUUUGGGUAUAGGGGCGAAAGACUAAUCGAACCGUCUAGUAGCUGGUUCCCUUCGAAGUUUCCCUCAGGAUAGCUGGCGCUCUGUCGCAGUUUUAUCUGGUAAAGCGAAUGAUUAGAGGUCUUGGGGGCGAAACGCCCUCAACCUAUUCUCAAACUUUAAAUUGGUAAGAAGCCCGACUCGCUCGUUUGGAGCCGGGCAUGGAAUGCGAGUGCCAAGUGGGCCACUCUUGGUAAGCAGGACUGGCGAUGCGGGAUGAACGAAUUCCACCAUGGAGCUCAGC
rnacentral:ncRNA from 1 species